AUGACAGCGAGAGCAGCAGAAUAUGGACCUUGGAGCAAGAUACCUCGAGUGAAGGCCUGGAGGCCAAAUACAGCUCGUGAUGCCCAGCCAAGGCACCUGAUAAAUGAGCCUGUGCAGGGAGUGGCCUUGAAUCCAGACAGAGUAGGACUUCUCCUCUGCGUGUUCUCAGUGCAACAUUGGAUUUACCUGAACAGCCUGGAUUUGGUCUGUGCUUUGCAUUUCUUCUGGGACAGAUCUGUGACUGCAAGUUGGACUUCCAGUCUUUGACAAACAUGGACAUACCAGCAAAAUGGUUUUUUGUACUGGUCAUACCCCUUGAAGAAGACUGCUCUUAUAGCAACUAAAUGCUGCAGUGUAGGGAGUUUCAAUUGCAGAGUACAUAUCUUACUGUAUUUUUUUCAGAUGGGCUGUGACCACAGUCUUCUGCUUCAUCUAAGGGAAAGUAUUAUUUUGGUUUGAAAGUAGUGGAAGAAUCUCUAUUAAUUUUCAAGUGCAAAUGAUAAAAUACAAACAAUUUAUUUCCCUUUACUCAUGUGGUAUAACAAGGUCUGAUUUAAAAUCUUUAGCAGAAAUCUAUUGCCAAAUUUUCAGGAUGAGCAACAGCAGAAAAAAUCAGUAUGCUAAAAACCAAAACAUUUCUUGUUGACUUAAGAAGCUCGUUAAAGUCUCAUUUGGGCCUGGUCUGUCGUUUGGUAUAAUCUGCGCAGUUAAGGCAUAAAAUGAUAUAAAUAUGGACUGGAGCCCAACCUCUGCACUUUCAAGAGCCAGUCCUACUUCAUUGGCUUCAAAGAAACCUAAAGAAUGAAACUGGAAUAGAGUGCCCUACAGGCUAGGCAAAUACAUGGAAAAUUUGUGCAACAUUCCAGGUUCAGUGAAGGAAAGCCAGCAGCAAGAAGAAGGUGUUCACCCAUUACCAUGAGGGAAAUGAAUGGUAUAUACCAGGCAAACAAUUUCACCUCCCUCACCUCAAAGAGAAAAUAGCCACAGGAGGUGCAUCCUUGGUGUAAGCACAUCUUCCCAGAUGAGAGGACUGGAAUAAUGAGCAGCUCUACUAAAAUCCCUGCAGGUGUGUGAAACAGCAUGUGAACUCUUCCCAAGAAAGUCAAGUUCAUGUUGGUGGAAAGGGAAUUUAAGUGGAAUCCCUGAUAAAAACCUACUGGACCUACAUCCCACAUAAGGCCUGCUGACUGGGUGGAACCGAAAGGUGAAGAAGCACACAUACAUAAUCCAUCAGUUGGUUUGACGUGUGUGGGGUGGCUUCACUUAGGUGACUUCAUGUCUCAGAGAUCUGCUGAGCCACAGUGCCAGACUGCCUGCCUCACUCAUUGCCCAGGGCUGCAAUAUUUUCUCUGCUGCCAUCAUCCCUCUGGGAGAAGGCUUUCCUUUUCAGAUGGGGUGGGAAUUUGUGGCCCAUGGGCUGCAUUGGUCUGGAGCUCUGUUCCAGAGGGCCUGCAGCCACACAAGUGGGAGGAAGGCAGACAGGCAUCUCACUAGUGCACAAAAAAUGAAUGUUAAUUAUGUUUCUAGUUAUCACAGGAGAAGUCUAUUAUCUGUGUGUCAAUGCACAGCCCACAAAGAUUGCACCAAAAUCCCAGCUAAAGCCUAGGUUAAAAAAUAAAUCUAAUCCUGUGACUGUUGAACCUCCUGUU
rnacentral:lncRNA from 1 species